GUGUCAGCCGCCGCGGUAACACGUAGGGCGCAAGCGUUGUCCGGAAUCAUUGGGCGUAAAGAGCUCGUAGGCGGUUUGUCGCGUCUGCUGUGAAAACUCGGGGCUUAACCCCGAGCUUGCAGUGGAUACGGGCAGACUAGAGGUAGGUAGGGGAGAAUGGAAUUCCUGGUGUAGCGGUGGAAUGCGCAGAUAUCAGGAGGAACACCGGUGGCGAAGGCGGGUCUCUGGGCCAUUACUGACGCUGAGGAGCGAAAGCGUGGGGAGCGAACAGGAUUAGAAACCCGUGUAGUCC
rnacentral:rRNA from 1 species